rnacentral:rRNA from 1 species
UGGGGAAUUUUGGACAAUGGGCGCAAGCCUGAUCCAGCAAUGCCGCGUGCAGGAUGAAGGCCUUCGGGUUGUAAACUGCUUUUGUACGGAAUGAAACGGCUCUGUCUAAUACAUGGGGCUAAUGACGGUACCGUAAGAAUAAGCACCGGCUAACUACGUGCCAGCAGCCGCGGUAAUACGUAGGGUGCAAGCGUUAAUCGGAAUUACUGGGCGUAAAGCGUGCGCAGGCGGUGAUGUAAGACAGGUGUGAAAUCCCCGGGCUUAACCUGGGAAUUGCAUUUGUGACUGCAUCGCUGGAGUGCGGCAGAGGGAGGUGGAAUUCCGCGUGUAGCGGUGAAAUGCGUAGAUAUAGGAAGGAACACCAGUGGCGAAGGCGACCACCUGGACUGAUACUGACACUGAGGUGCGAAAGCGUGAGGAGCAAACA